UGCAAUCCCUCUACUUGCUGGCAGUUGCAGGAGAAGAUUGCUUUUAAGUGAAACGUCCCUGCCAUCUCUCUGAGGUUUCAUCCCCCUUAAUAGUGUCCUGCCCUUAAGUUUCAGAGCUCCUUUUGCGAGCGCUGGGGGUGGGGGCACGAGAGAUUUACAGUCCAGAAGAAUCGCUGGCAUGUAUAUUUCAUCCGACGGACUUUCCAUGUGUCUCAUCUCCCUGCCAUCAACGCUAUAUGCAGUGAGACUUCUGACUUGAGCAGAGGAAUGCGCGGAGGAAGCUCCGGCGAAACUGGUAGGAGAGGAUCUCCUCGGCGCCAGUGCUAAUUGUCGUGAUUUAUGUCCCCGCCGAGUACCUUCCACGGCUUCAUCUAAAAUAAAACCAAAGCUGGGGCCAGCCAGGAGCGCAGCCUUUGCAGAGUGUCUCGUCGCGGAGAGCCAGGGAACGUCCUGCAGCUUCCCGGAGCCCCAGUAAAAGUUUAAUGCAAAGAAGUGGCUCAAACAGACGGGAGACCCAGCGGGGCAGGCAGGAAACCCUGAGCGGUUGCUGCUGACUUGUUCCAGGGGGAGCGUGGGUCCUGGCUCCCCUUCUCUGAUCCGCCGGUCGCUGAGCUUUGCGGUGGAGCCAGAGGUGUUCCUCCCCCUUCGCCCCGGGGCGAGCUCCGCGGGGCAGCUCCAGGGCAGUCUGCAGUUCCCGGGGCAGGGGCGGAGAAGGGGGCUGCAACCUGCCGGCUGGCGGGGGCUGCUCUUCUCCAGCCCUUGAACUCUUCGGCGUUACCAGGAACUUUUGUUGGGCGUGCGGCACACGCCUGCCAGGCUCCCCUCGGCUGGGGGACUGGGCACGGCGGGCGGAGCAGCUUCCCACCCCUGCGCCGCUGGCUCCCAUGCUCCUGCUGCCGGAGGGGGAUGAGGCUGGCAAGGUCCCAGGCAGCGCAGUGUCCGUUCUCCUCCCCGCUCUAACGAGAGGGAUUGCUCCGCAUGGAUGUUGGUGCCAGAAGAAAAGAAUGAUUGAUGGGAAACAGACACCAGGCUAUAGACACUCAUCCUUUUGCUUCAGAUGCUGAUUUAUCAGUGCGUCUAGGUAUCCCUUGUGAGCUUUGAACACGGAGGAUCACUCGGGGUUAUCAACAGUACAAGUGAAGACCUACAGCUUUGCUAAAUUAGUAUCUGCUCUCGGAUAUCUUUUACAAAAAGCCCUGAUAGACACAUGAUAAGACAAAGGACAAGCUUCAGAUUUCUGUGAAAAGCUGUUCUUUGAAUAUAUUAGGCUUCCGCCAAAGUCUUCAACUUAGCAAAGCAAGUACCGUACUCAACGUUUCACGUUCAGUUGUGGAAUCUGUUUUAUAAGAUACAUACAUAAAUAUACGUGUACAUAUAUUUAUCAUCUAUAGACUAUCAUUAAAUCAAUACUGGUUAUAAUUAUCAAGG
rnacentral:lncRNA from 1 species